ACAGGAAAUGAAAAUGGCAAUAUGGCGUACUAUCAAAAUAUUACAAACUAAAUAAUUAUUUUGUAGGUCUGCAACUGAUGGUCAACUGUCAUAUAAUUUUGCAGAGCUACACAUUUAUGUUGUUUCUAUUUAUGUGUGAAAAAUGUUAUUUGAACAAAUAUGGAUAUAGAACAAGAAGAAAAGGCUGUUUCUAUGACCUGCCGAGUUUGUGGCGAAAAGUUACGAUCAUAUCUCCAACUAGAAAAACAUUACAAAACACACGAUGGUGAAAAACCUUAUAAAUGCAAUGUUUGUGGUAAAACAUUUGGACACAAAUCAAAUCUUAUGGUUCAUUCAAAACUUCACAGUGGUGAAAAACCCUACUUGUGUGAAUUUUGCGGAAAACAAGACAGUGACAUUGGUAACUUACUAAAACAUAUUAAAGUUCACACAACAGACAGAUAUUAAAACAGUGAAGGUGAAUGUGUCUGUCACAAACAAGACUAGGAGAAUAUUAGAAUGUCAUUUUGCAGCCUUUCCAUUUGUGACCAUGGAAUGGUUUAGUUUGAGUUUCUUCCAUUUAUUUAUAAAAAAAACAUAAUUGGCUCAUCUAGUUGAAUUGCCCCAUUUGGUGGUGGAUUUUAGGGAAAAAGUUAAUUAUUCUAGCAUAGCCUAUAUGUUCUAUUCUGGAUUGGUAGCUGUUUUCUUUCAGAUCAACAUGCAUUAUUUUUAACCUGCAUAUAUCUAUUUUCAUGGUAUUGGUAGAAUAUUGUUUAUGUGUGUCGAACAAGGUGUGUGGAUAAUUAGUUCAUCAUUAUAUAUUGCUUCAGUGUGUUGUUAAAAAAACAAAAAUAAUUGAUGUGUAUGUGUCUAGUUUGUAAACUAAUAGCUAAAUAUGAGAAAUGGGAGGGGGUGGGUGGGGUGGCAAUGCUCCCUUAAAAAGUAGCACAGGCUGAACAGGCCGGUACUAUCGGAUCUGUGUAGCUGCUGGAUCAAACAAUGAGGCAGGUGGAGAGAGAGUAGACAUAAUAGAUAAAUAUAGCUAAAAAAAAUCAUCAUAGUUUUCAUAUUCUGUGUCGUCAUUAGCCCAGUCUGAGCAGAACAGUAGAACAUUAACUCCAUUUCAUUUCAUUUCAUUUCAUAGUUUUUGUAAUGAGAAAAUGAAAUGUAUUAUCAUAGAUGCAUUUGAAAUGUGUGGUCAGCUUAUAUUAAAUUGUCUGGGGUCUUGUGGAAUAUUGACAAAAAAAAUCAGCAUUUCAAAUGUGUUGUUUGCUUUAUGUAAAUAUUUUUACUGAAUUGACUGGUUCUUGUGGAAUACUGACGAAAAUAAAUCAACAUUAUUAAUUGAAAUGGUCAGUGUUAUGUGUUAAAUAUAUUUUACAUAUAUCUAUCUACAUUAUAUUUAUUAUAAUGAAAUAUUAUUCAGAUAUGAUUUUUAGACAUGAAUUAUUUAUGUUCAAGUGUAUAUUUUAAUUUUAUUGUGUUCGAAUUACAAAUGAUAUUUGAUAAAUUGAUUAUAAACUAACAGUACAGCUUGAA